CGACGGAGGCGCUCCAGAGGUGGACCGGCGAGAGCCGCCCUGCCCCCCGCGCCAGAGCUCCGCCGCGUCGUUAGAUAUCUCAACCGUGCCCGCCGCAAACAAUUUAUUGCAGAAUUUCAUGGAAGGGGGCGACAGCUGAUUUCAGUUGUGGCUUGCUAUAAGGAUCUGCGUUGUUUUCAGGCAGAAGUCUCAGGAGACUGACAGCGAAUGAAGAUUAUAAAGAUAACUGCGACAUCGAAUACAUGUCCCUUGACUCUUAUCCAACACUGUCAAUGACGGUAUGAUUCCCAACUGCUCAUUGCAGGAAGGCUCCUGAUUUUGCCAUCCCUACAAAAAAAAUCAAUCGUUCUAGCAGAGAGCAACUAUUACUGCUGCUCUGAAGUCCAGCUCAGACGUGCAUAGUUCAGAAUGUUGAGGGUUGCAUAACGGGAUCUGUUGGAUGCUGACUCGUGGAUCAUUUUCACCAUCCGACACAGCCUCCGUUGGCGACUCUGUUUCCGGCUAGCUGUCUCCAACAUAGAAGUCUGCAUCGCUGACGAUGAACGACUAUGUUACUUCUGCAAGCGUGUGGCCUCUAAUUUUUCUCUAUAAUAGAGAAACUGGAUUGUAGAUGUUGCCAAUCUUUUUUAAGAUUAAACUGAGGUAAAUCAAUCCCCUUCGUAAGCUAUUACUAUGUAUAUUCUUUUAUACAUACCAGUUUUGUUUCCAUAUAUAUUUAAAGUGUGCACCUGUAUUUUACAUAGAUAACUGACUGCUCAGUUCUGGUCAUUGUCAAUAUCAACAAAAUUUAUAUGUACUGGCCAUUGUCAAUAUGAACAAAAUUUAUAUGUAUUUUCAUGUGUGGUCUACGAAAAGAAAAUACAUGGAGAUGCAUAUGUGCACCUCUGUAUGCAGCUUAUUUAGAAAUUGGGAGGGAAAUAUCAGAUAUCACUAACCGAGAUUUAUUAUAUGUUAGAUAAUAUCCUAGCUUUCCAAAGUUUGGUAGUUCCACUUUCACUUGCACCAUUCUCAAUCAUUUUCACCUCUCAUGUUCUUGCAUGUUUGGCCCUCAAAUCAAUUUUGCAUUGUUCAUCUUACUGCCACCAGGCUUUAUUGUAUAUGCUACAUGCUUUUCAUUCUAUGGCUUGCUAGCUUAUUUCCUUUUUCUUUGUAUUCUGUCUUUUCCAGCCGCAUGCCUUUUGCAUGUGCCCAGCAUACAAACUGAACAAUUGCAUAUAAAAGAAGUAACAUCUCAUGCUAAUUGUGUCUUGUGUGUAAGCUUUUAAGUGGUUUACAGAAAUAUUUUUGGAUAUCAGCAAAAGAUUGAUACGAAAUCUAGACAAGUAGCAGAUAAUAAUACAAAAUUCAUAGUUAAUGUAAUUUAAUAAAAUCAUGUAUAUUAAGUAUCUCAAAUUGCCUACUAGAUGUAUAUCUCCCAACAGAUUUUGCCGUUCUGAUGGUCAUCUCAGACUAGAAAAAGAACUACAAAUGCUUCAGUUGGCAUUAGAAAUGCUUAAUUUCUUUCUGUUUGGAUUUCUUUGGUUGCAAGUAUUCUUGAUUCUUUUUAGUUUGUUACCCGUCUCUGCAUUCAUUGUUCUGUCCAUCGAGUUUUCCAUCUACCUGAAUGUGCCCAUUGCAGGCAGCGACACCAUGCUCUGCUGCUCUGGUCGAUGGAACCGACCAGGUAUCUGAUGUAGAGCCUUAUAAGGAUGUGAACAUGGCAGUGGCAGUUCUACCAACACAUUUGUUGCGUAGCAUCUAAGUUAACGAGUUACUGUGCGCUACAACCACAUUUGCUGGGGUAGCCAAUAGCUAAAUUAAUGAGUUAUUGCGCUAUUUCCGAUUAUGUUCCUGUCUGGAGCUGAAUUGUGAGAUGCACCUGUGUUUAUGUCCGUCCAAUUCCAUGGUGAGUGUUUUUCCUACCAUAUUGCAGUUCACCGCAAGUUGUUGAAACUGAAGGAAAAAAGAGCGAAGAUAUGGAUGUGGCAACAUACGCUUUCAGGAGCAGAUUUAUAGUCAGGGAAUUAGUUUCCGAGGUCUGCAGAUAGCAGCUACAAAUGUUCGUUGCUGAAGGAGUUAACUCCAGAUGCCUGCAGAUACCAGCUUAAAAAUUUGGUGCUUGAGGAGUUAAUAUUGAAUGCCUACGGAUGUUAUCUGCAACUAUCCAGUGUCUAAAUUACCAUCGGCAGUCCAUAGAAAUAUGCAUAAAACUUAUUUAGAGUACAUUAUGUUGCUGUUAUGUUAUGUAUUUUUUUAUUACCAGCUGGUACUGUAUUGUGCUUUAAUUUGUAGUUCCUUUUCUCUGCUAUGAAAUGCUUUGUCUAGAUAUAGACAGUGUACUAGGGACUAUUUUCUUAUUUUUGUGCAUUAGGUACUCCUAUUUUGUUUUCCGCUUGAGUUUAUUUGUAUAAGCAGAGAACAAAGCUUCAUGUACUAAUCAACCAAAAGGUAGAAUUGAGGACACCGCGGUUAUUUUCUUGAGGCCAA